rnacentral:rRNA from 1 species
UACGUAGGGGGCUAGCGUUGUCCGGAAUCAUUGGGCGUAAAGCGCGUGUAGGCGGCCCGGUAAGUCCGCUGUGAAAGUCGGGGGCUCAACCCUCGAAAGCCGGUGGAUACUGUCGGGCUCGAGUGCGGAAGAGGCGAGUGGAAUUCCUGGUGUAGCGGUGAAAUGGCGCAGAUAUCAGGAGGAACACCGAUUGCGAAGGCAGCUCGCUGGGACGUUACUGACGCUGAGACGCGAAAGCGUGGGGAGCAAACAGG